GGCUCACUGGCUCGAUACUGACGCUGAGGUGCGAAAGUGUGGGGAGCAAACAGGAUUAGAUACCCUGGUAGUCCAUGCCGUAAACGAUGUGUGCUAGACCGUUGGAAAUAUAUUUUUCAGUGUCGCAGCGAAAGCAUUAAGCACACCGCCUGGGGAGUACGACCGCAAGGUUAAAACUCAAAUGAAUUGACGGGGACCCGCACAAGCAGUGGAGCAUGUGGUUUAAUUCGAAGCAACGCGCAGAACCUUACCAACCCUUGACAUCCUAGGACAACCUGACGAGAUCAGGCCUUCCUUCGGGACCUAGUUGACAGGUGCUGCAUCGGCU
rnacentral:rRNA from 1 species